rnacentral:SRP_RNA from 1 species
GCGGCGGCCCCGCGUAACGUGGAUGUGUGAACCCCGUGAGGUCCGGAAGGAAGCAGCGGUAAGCAUCUUUCCGCGUGUACCGCGGCAAGCCGCCACCCG